UGUGUGUGUGUGAGUGUGUGUGUGUCUGUCUGUGUAUGUGUGUGUGUGUCUGUGUCUGUGAGUGUGUACGCAUAUAUAUAUAUAUAUAUAUAUACACACACACACACACACACACACACACACACA